UACAGGGGGGGCAAGCGUUGUUCGGAAUUACUGGGCGUAAAGGGCUCGUAGGCGGCCAACUAAGUCACACGCGAAAUCCCCAGGCUUAACCUGGGAACUGCGUGUGAUACUGGAUGGCUUGAAUCCGGGAGAGGGAUGCAGAAUUCCAGGUGUAGCGGUGAAAUGCGUAGAUAUCUGGAGGAAUACCGGUGGCGAAGGCGGCAUCCUGGACCGGCAUUGACGCUGAUGAGCGAAAGCUAGGGGAGCAAACGGG
rnacentral:rRNA from 1 species